rnacentral:tRNA from 1 species
GCCGGAGUGGUGAAAUUGGUAGACACGCCGGAUUCAAAAUCCGGUGCUAGUGAUAGCGUGCCGGUUCAAGUCCGGCCUCCGGUA